rnacentral:rRNA from 1 species
UGUCUAAGUACAAGCCUCACUAAGGUGAAACCGCGAAUGGCUCAUUAAAUCACACCUAAUCUACUGGAUAGUCAACAGUUACUUGGGUAACUGCGGUAAUUCUGGAGCUAAUACAUGCACAAAGCCCCGAACUUACGUGAGGGGUGCUUUUAUUAGAUCAAAACCAAACGGCUUCGGCUGUUCUCUUGGUGACUCUGAAUAACUUUGGGCUGAUCGCAUAGCCUAGCGCUGGCGACAUAUCCUUCGAAGGUGUGCCCUAUCAACUGUCGACUGUGGCAUAGACGCCCACAGUGGUUUUGACGGGUAACGGGGAAUCAGGGUUCGAUUCCGGAGAGGGAGCCUUAAAAACGGCUACCACAUCUAAGGAAGGCAGCAGGCACGCAAAUUACCCAAUGCCCGAAGGGCGAGGUAGUGACGAAAAAUAACGAUACGGGACUCAUCCGAGGCCCCGUAAUCGGAAUGAUUACACUUUAAAACCGUCCCAGAGGACCCAUUGGAGGGCAAGUCUGGUGCCAGCAGCCGCGGUAAUUCCAGCUCCAAUAGCGUAUAUUAAAGUUGUUGUGGUUAAAAAGCUCGUAGUUGGAUCUCGGCAGUCCGAGGGCGGUUCGCUUGCUAGUGUUACUGCCUUAUGGACUGUAGUUUUGCCAGAGGGCUCUGGGUGCUCUUAACCGAGUGUCCAGUGUUGCUGGCAGGUUUACUUUGAAAAAAUUAGAGUGCUCAAAGCAGGCUUUCACGCCUGAAUAUUCGUGCAUGGAAUAAUAGAAUAGGAAGUCGUUUCUAUUUUGUUGGUUUUCGGAAAUCGACUUAAUGAUUAAUAGGGACAGUCGGGGGCAUUUGUAUUCAAACGACAGAGGUGAAAUUCUUGGACCGUUUGAAGACAAACUACUGCGAAAGCAUUUGCCAAGAAUGUUUUCUUAAUCAAGAACGAAAGUUAGAGG